CUAUCUUAGUGGCGGACGGGUGAGUAACGCGUGGGUAACCUGCCUUGCACUGGGGGAUAACACUUAGAAAUAGGUGCUAAUACCGCAUAACAGUAGGAGACGCAUGUCUUUUACUUGAAAAUUCCGGUGGUGUAAGAUGGACCCGCGUCUGAUUAGCUUGUUGGCGGGGUAACGGCCCACCAAGGCGACGAUCAGUAGCCGGCCUGAGAGGGUGAACGGCCACAUUGGGACUGAGACACGGCCCAAACUCCUACGGGAGGCAGCAG
rnacentral:rRNA from 1 species